UGUGUAGGCGGGUCGUUAAGUACCUUGUGAAAUCCCACGGCUCACCCGUGGAACUGCUGGGUAUACUGGCGAUCUUGGGCCAUUUAGGGGCAACUGGAACAAGCGGUGGAGCGGUGAAAUGCGUAGAUAUCGCUUGGAACGCCAAAGGUGAAAACAGGUUGCUGGGAAUGUGCCGACGCUGAGACACGAAAGCCGAGGGGAAGGCAAACG
rnacentral:rRNA from 1 species